UACGAAGGGGGCUAGCGUUGCUCGGAAUCACUGGGCGUAAAGCGCACGUAGGCGGCUUUUUAAGUCAGGGGUGAAAUCCUGGAGCUCAACUCCAGAACUGCCUUUGAUACUGAGAAGCUUGAGUCCGGGAGAGGUGAGUGGAACUGCGAGUGUAGAGGUGAAAUUCGUAGAUAUUCGCAAGAACACCAGUGGCGAAGGCGGCUCACUGGCCCGGUACUGACGCUGAGGUGCGAAAGCGUGGGGAGCAAACCGG
rnacentral:rRNA from 1 species